GCCCGUAGUGUCUACCGUGCAGUGUGGCGUGUGCUGCUUCAGCAAAACACGGAGACCGUCAGAAGCAGAGACCGUCCUUUAUGAGAUUACCAAUGUUGAUUUUCUGCCUUUUUGCCAGACCGUCACCGUGCAGAGUAGGUUCCCGGACGUAGUGACGAUCGUGCCUCGAAGAUCCGAAGAAAGCCUCCGUGUUUUAAAGUAAUAUCAGUGCCGACCGCGGUCCGGGGUAAAACGAAUGGUAUGUAACCGUAGGUCAGUUGUUCCACUUUUCGUUUAGCCUCCCGGACCUGUUAUUCACGUUGUUGACCGGACAACGUGAGUUUUUACAUCCAAAUUCUCAGUACAGUAGUGCAAAAUCAAUUUGUCGAAAUCGUGCCAGGUGACGGAUCCGCCGUAUUAUGAACUUUGAAGACUAUGAAACGUUACCGACGACCAACGUUACCAGCCACAUGAUGGCUGGUGCUGUGGCAGGGAUUUUGGAACAUUCAGUCAUGUACCCUCUGGAUUCCGUCAAGACGAGAAUGCAGAGUUUGACAAUUAAUCGUGACAGGAGCAUAAUGUCUGCCAUGACUCGGAUGAUGCAGGAGGGGCUUUUCAGACCGAUCAAGGGAAUACAUGUCGUCGUGAUGGGUGCAGGACCUGCGCAUGCCCUGUACUUUUCUAGUUACGAAUACUUAAAGGAAACUUUUAUAUCUAAGUUUAAAAUGAACAACCAAGUGGCAUACGGUGCUGCUGGGAUGAUAUCGACAAUAUUACAUGACGGUUUAAUGACACCUAGUGAUGCCAUUAAACAAAGAUUACAAAUGUAUGAUAGUCCUUACAGAGGGAUGUUUGAUUGUAUAAGGAAGGUUUAUGCGUCUGAAGGAAUUGGUGCAUUUUAUCGCUCUUAUACAACACAACUUUCAAUGAAUGUACCAUUUCAAAGUAUACAUUUUAUGAUCUACGAAUUGUUGCAAUCGAUAUCAAACCCUAAUCGGGAUUAUAACCCGAAAGCACAUAUGAUGUCAGGUGCAUUGGCUGGCGGCAUCGCAGCAGCCAUAACAACACCCCUGGAUGUAUGCAAAACCCUUCUCAAUACUCAAUCAGAGGGUAAAAUGGAAGUAAGGGGGUUGUUAAAUGCAAUUAGGACGAUUUAUUCUGUCAGUGGUCCUCUAGGAUUUUUUAAAGGUGUCAACGCAAGAGUUCUUUACCAAAUGCCUUCCACAGCCAUUUGCUGGUCAACAUAUGAAUGUGCGAAGUAUAUACUCAUACCAAGGAAAAAGGAUGACUAUGAUUCAAAACCAAGGAGGUAAAACAUUUGUUGAAGUUUGAAAAACACGACACAGUAAAUAUCAGGCCGAGUGAUAUCCAGUCAUGGUCUCUUGAAGCUGGAUAUGGCGUACCAAUUAAAUGAAGCUAUUUUUAUGUGUAAUUAGGAGCUUCCUUCGCUAAGUCCUGGCCUUUAUGCAGUACCAUCGGUUGUUGCUUUUUCACCAUCAGACCCAACUCUACUAGAAGUAACGCGUAGCUAAGAAAAAUAACACACCAACGCACCCUUGGAGAGAAAAAAGAUUCUAAUAAAAACAAAAAAAGCAUACAUGUAUUUACUGAAAGUGGCUUUAGUAAGAGAAAAGUUUAAGUAAUGGUAAUGUGUUAUAGAUCCAAUACUACUCGGUUGAAGAUUUAGGAUUUGUUCUUAAAGAAUGGUUUUUCUUAUGAGCUAAAUCUCUCUAACUGAAACAUCCAAAAAGUUGAUCCUGCGACAUGCUCUUUUUCAUCAAAUUGUUAUGGCAAAUGUAUAUUUUUGACCCAAAUUUGUAAAUAAUGUCAUGCCUCCAUAAAUAAAUUAAGAAGAAAAAUUUUAAUAUUGUCUGUAUAUUUUUGUAGGAAACUGACUUAUAGCUAUCAGUUUUAAACGUAAUUGACCAUUUCCAUUUUAUUUAAAUUGUUACAGCAUUGAUGUUGUUUCGGAGAAAUUUGCUCUUAUAUAAUAAUGUGCAUUUCUACUCUGCAAAGGGGAAAAUACUCUUUACAAUUAUUUCAAUGUUUCAAAUCUACCUUAGAAACGGCAAUAUUACAAAUUGUUAUUUGUAAUCUAAAUUCAACAUUUUGUUAAGUUUUAAAACUUCAAAUUUUUUUGUUAUAUUUUUUUGUAUUAUAAAAAAAAGAUUUACAGGUAGUUGUUAAUCUGUAAUUAAGUUACCAUGAGUGUAAUUAACGGAAGGAGAGAUAUGUUAUGGAUAUGAAAAGCUCUACUUUAGCUCACAGUAGUCGUAUAGAAAAAGUAUACACUUGUGAUGGGCAAGAAACAUUACUGAUUAAAAUAUUGUAAAAAAUAUUAUUAAAUACAAAUUUUAAGAAAAAAUGUAGUAUAACUUAAGUUCAAAAGUUUACUCUUUCUCAUUUGUUUAAAAAUUAAAUAAGAAAGAAAUCUCAAGGUGGUGGCAAUGUCUAUUGGAGAGCGAACGCUUUCAUAUGAUAUCCAGAGUAAAGGAAUGGGCGUCGUUUCAUUCCUGUACUAAUUUUGUUUAUCCGCCACGCUCAUCACCAUCAACAACUAUUAUAAUAAAAAGUUUUUGUCUGUGAUAAAUAAUUAUUGUUAAUUUAUUUUUUUAGAAAAAAACGUAUAAAAAUGUUUAUAUAAUGAUGUUCACUUUAAGAUGGAGUAAUGUCAUUUUUAAACGUGGAAAUUUGCUGGUUAAACCCCCAUAUUUUUUACCGUUUAAAAAUGACUUAAGUUAUAGUACAGUGUAUCCGAUUUAUUUCCAGUUCUUUGGCAGUUGAUUUGUCAGCAAGUGUAUACACUGUUUAAAAAAAGUUCACUAUUGAGAUAUGGAAGUUUAUUUUAAUUUUCCCUUCUAAGUUGGUUUUUUUGUUGGAAAUGAUGGACAAAUUGGUGCAAAAUUACACAUUCAAAUUUAAGAAUCUGCCGAUGAACUGGUAUUUUAAAAUAAAUAAAAAGGAAUUUUACAAGCACAUUUGUUUAAUUUAGACAACUAGUAGUAUGUAUUAAAGAAAAACCUUUAAAAAGUUUAAAUAAAUAAAAUAACCAAAAUGUUAUAU